UACGUAGGGUCCGAGCGUUGUCCGGAAUUACUGGGCGUAAAGAGCUCGUAGGUGGUUUGUCGCGUUGUUCGUGAAAACUCACAGCUUAACUGUGGGCGUGCGGGCGAUACGGGCAGACUUGAGUACUGCAGGGGAGACUGGAAUUCCUGGUGUAGCGGUGGAAUGCGCAGAUAUCAGGAGGAACACCGGUGGCGAAGGCGGGUCUCUGGGCCGAUAUUGACGCUGAUGCACGAAAGCUAGGGGAGCAAACAGG
rnacentral:rRNA from 1 species